rnacentral:rRNA from 1 species
CUACGUGCCAGCAGCCGCGGUAAUACGUAGGUCUCAAGCGUUGUCCGGAUUUACUGGGCGUAAAGUGUCCGUAGUCUGAAUUGUAAGUCUGUUUUCAAAUCCUACGACUCAAUCGUAGAAAGGGAGUGGAUACUGCAAUUCUGGAAGUAUCUGGGGGUUAGUGGAAUUUCCGGUGGAGCGGUGAAAUGCGUUGAUAUCGGAAGGAACGCCGAAAGCGAAAGCAGCUAACUACAGAAUACUUGACGAUGAGGGACGACAGUUCGGGUAGCAAACAGGAUUAGAUACCCUGGUAGUCCGAACCGUAAAUUAUGCUUGCUAGAUGUUUUUGUCAAUUUAUUGGCAGGAGUGUCGUAAUCUAACGAGUUAAGCAAGUCGCCUGGGUAGUAUAUUCGCAAGAAUGAAACUCAAAGGGAUAGGCGGGGGAACACACAAGCAGUGGAUUAUCUAGAUUAAUUGGAUAAUAAGCCAAGAAUCUUACCUAGGAUUGACAU